UACGUAGGGGGCUAGCGUUGUCCGGAAUCAUUGGGCGUAAAGGGCGUGUAGGCGGGAAUGUAAGUCGGGCGUGAAAGCCCCAGGCUCAACCUGGGAACUGCACUCGAAACUGCGUUUCUUGAGUAUCGGAGAGGAAAGCGGAAUACCUGGUGUAGAGGUGAAAUUCGUAGAUAUCAGGUGGAACACCAGUGGCGAAGGCGGCUUUCUGGACGAUUACUGACGCUGAGACGCGAAAGCGUGGGGAGCAAACAGG
rnacentral:rRNA from 1 species